GUUAUAUGGUCAAGUGAAGAAGCGCAUACGGUGGAUGCCUUGGCAGUCAGAGGCGAUGAAAGACGUGGUAGCCUGCGAAAAGCUUCGGGGAGUCGGCAAACAGACUUUGAUCCGGAGAUCUCUGAAUGGGGGAACCCACCUAGGAUAACCUAGGUAUCUUGUACUGAAUCCAUAGGUGCAAGAGGCGAACCAGGGGAACUGAAACAUCUAAGUACCCUGAGGAAAAGAAAUCAACCGAGAUUCCCUUAGUAGUGGCGAGCGAACGGGGAUUAGCCCUUAAGCUUCAUUGAUUUUAGCGGAACGCUCUGGAAAGUGCGGCCAUAGUGGGUGAUAGCCCCGUACGCGAAAGGAUCUUUGAAGUGAAAUCGAGUAGGACGGAGCACGAGAAACUUUGUCUGAACAUGGGGGGACCAUCCUCCAAGGCUAAAUACUACUGACUGACCGAUAGUGAACCAGUACCGUGAGGGAAAGGCGAAAAGAACCCCGGAGAGGGGAGUGAAAUAGAACCUGAAACCGUAUGCGUACAAGCAGUGGGAGCCUACUUGUUAGGUGACUGCGUACCUUUUGUAUAAUGGGUCAGCGACUUAUAUUCAGUGGCAAGCUUAACCGUAUAGGGUAGGCGUAGCGAAAGCGAGUCUUAAUAGGGCGUUUAGUCGCUGGGUAUAGACCCGAAACCGGGCGAUCUAUCCAUGAGCAGGUUGAAGGUUAGGUAACACUGACUGGAGGACCGAACCCACUCCCGUUGAAAAGGUAGGGGAUGACUUGUGGAUCGGAGUGAAAGGCUAAUCAAGCUCGGAGAUAGCUGGUUCUCCUCGAAAGCUAUUUAGGUAGCGCCUCAUGUAUCACUCUGGGGGGUAGAGCACUGUUUCGGCUAGGGGGUCAUCCCGACUUACCAAACCGAUGCAAACUCCGAAUACCCAGAAGUGCCGAGCAUGGGAGACACACGGCGGGUGCUAACGUCCGUCGUGAAAAGGGAAACAACCCAGACCGCCAGCUAAGGUCCCAAAGUUGUGGUUAAGUGGUAAACGAUGUGGGAAGGCUUAGACAGCUAGGAGGUUGGCUUAGAAGCAGCCAUCCUUUAAAGAAAGCGUAAUAGCUCACUAGUCGAGUCGGCCUGCGCGGAAGAUGUAACGGGGCUCAAACCACACACCGAAGCUGCGGGUGUCACGUAAGUGACGCGGUAGAGGAGCGUUCUGUAAGCCUGUGAAGGUGAGUUGAGAAGCUUGCUGGAGGUAUCAGAAGUGCGAAUGCUGACAUGAGUAACGACAAUGGGUGUGAAAAACACCCACGCCGAAAGACCAAGGGUUCCUGCGCAACGUUAAUCGACGCAGGGUUAGUCGGUUCCUAAGGCGAGGCUGAAAAGCGUAGUCGAUGGGAAACAGGUUAAUAUUCCUGUACUUCUGGUUACUGCGAUGGAGGGACGGAGAAGGCUAGGCCAGCUUGGCGUUGGUUGUCCAAGUUUAAGGUGGUAGGCUGAAAUCUUAGGUAAAUCCGGGGUUUCAAGGCCGAGAGCUGAUGACGAGUCGUCUUUUAGAUGACGAAGUGGUUGAUGCCAUGCUUCCAAGAAAAGCUUCUAAGCUUCAGGUAACCAGGAACCGUACCCCAAACCGACACAGGUGGUCGGGUAGAGAAUACCAAGGCGCUUGAGAGAACUCGGGUGAAGGAACUAGGCAAAAUGGCACCGUAACUUCGGGAGAAGGUGCGCCGGCUAGGGUGAAGGAUUUACUCCGUAAGCUCUGGCUGGUCGAAGAUACCAGGCCGCUGCGACUGUUUAUUAAAAACACAGCACUCUGCAAACACGAAAGUGGACGUAUAGGGUGUGACGCCUGCCCGGUGCCGGAAGGUUAAUUGAUGGGGUUAGCGCAAGCGAAGCUCUUGAUCGAAGCCCCGGUAAACGGCGGCCGUAACUAUAACGGUCCUAAGGUAGCGAAAUUCCUUGUCGGGUAAGUUCCGACCUGCACGAAUGGCGUAACGAUGGCGGCGCUGUCUCCACCCGAGACUCAGUGAAAUUGAAAUCGCUGUGAAGAUGCAGUGUAUCCGCGGCUAGACGGAAAGACCCCGUGAACCUUUACUGUAGCUUURCACUGGACUUUGAGCCUGCUUGUGUAGGAUAGGUGGGAGGCUUUGAAGCGUGGACGCCAGUUCGCGUGGAGCCAUCCUUGAAAUACCACCCUGGCAUGCUUGAGGUUCUAACUCUGGUCCGUGAUCCGGAUCGAGGACAGUGUAUGGUGGGCAGUUUGACUGGGGCGGUCUCCUCCUAAAGAGUAACGGAGGAGUACGAAGGUGCGCUCAGACCGGUCGGAAAUCGGUCGCAGAGUAUAAAGGCAAAAGCGCGCUUGACUGCGAGACAGACACGUCGAGCAGGUACGAAAGUAGGUCUUAGUGAUCCGGUGGUUCUGUAUGGAAGGGCCAUCGCUCAACGGAUAAAAGGUACUCCGGGGAUAACAGGCUGAUACCGCCCAAGAGUUCAUAUCGACGGCGGUGUUUGGCACCUCGAUGUCGGCUCAUCACAUCCUGGGGCUGAAGCCGGUCCCAAGGGUAUGGCUGUUCGCCAUUUAAAGUGGUACGCGAGCUGGGUUUAGAACGUCGUGAGACAGUUCGGUCCCUAUCUGCCGUGGACGUUUGAGAUUUGAGAGGGGCUGCUCCUAGUACGAGAGGACCGGAGUGGACGAACCUCUGGUGUUCCGGUUGUCACGCCAGUGGCAUUGCCGGGUAGCUAUGUUCGGAAAAGAUAACCGCUGAAAGCAUCUAAGCGGGAAACUUGCCUCAAGAUGAGCGAUU
rnacentral:rRNA from 1 species